ensembl:lncRNA
UAUAUUUGAAUUGGAAAAUAUUUUAUUUGAAUAGUAAAUAGUUAUACAGUUGAAACAGUUCUAUUGAAGCAUUCUAUAAAUAGCUAACAAUUAAGAAAAUAAUGUGUGUAGAAAAGAGAUUGCAUCUAAAAGUAAGAGCUGUCAGUUGUACAAGAGCUGUCUGAGCCCUCCAAGCAAAUGGUAAGGUUGUAUGUAAUCGCUCAGAUAGGUAUAAAAGUUAAAACUUUUAGCAGAUCCCUUUAGAAAAAGACCCUCUUCUAAAAUGCACAGUGAAAUGUCACACGUGGCAGGAAAAAAAGCGCAUCAAAAAUAUCUGCAAUCAAAUAAUAUCAUAAUUUUCAUAAUAUAAAUAAAUAGUGAAUAAAUAACACUCAUAAAUCAACAUAUACAUUUAGAGUAAACUCAUAUGGUCCUACCUCAACAAAGAUUAUCAAACGAAAAAGUUGACAUGUAAUAUUAAGGCAAUUCUACAGCAUACUCUGAAAACUUCCCUCCCCUCCCCCUAAAAACAACCCUGAAACAAAACAGCAAUUCAAGGCAUUUGUGGCUAUACUAAAGAAAACUCUUUUUUUAAGCAGUUUGAUUUGUUCACAUACAAAAAGAUAAAGCCAGAAUCCAGCAGUUCACAAGCCAUAAUAAAGCUAAUCAUGUGGUAAAUUCAAUUUACAGCCUGUGAAGUAUAAAGGCAUUAUUCCUUAAGAUUGACUAAAAACAACCCGUAGGCUAAAUACAUAUAGAGAAAAGAGUAGAGAUGGGUAGAAAGGAAGAAAAAACGGAGACUUUCUAGAGACCGUCAACACAUCGAACACUAACAGUAAAAACAGUUGUUUUUCAAAAGGAUUCAGCAGGUACAUAUUUUGAGCUUCCAGAAAAUCCAAAGGGAAGGGGCAAAGGAGAAGGGUUAGGGAGGAAUACCAACGAGGAGACAAAAGGGUACAGUUUUUUCUUCUCUCUUAACAGAAAUAAACCAGCUCUUACGAGAACAAGUUAACUUGGAGAAAAUCAAGGAGAAAAAAAAAAUAAAUCACAACGGGGUUGGGGAGAGGAUGGGGUGAAGAGUUGGUUACCAGCACGCUACGAGAUCAAGACAACACUUUUCACGUUUCAGUUUUCACCACCAGCGCGUUUCAUUCACGAACGCUAAAAAGCAGUUUGGGGAGGAGCAAGAGGGGAAGGGCUGGGGACAGAUUGAUGGACUGAAGGACCGACGGACGGGGCUCACAGUCUCUUUGUGGUUCUACAAGCGAAGGCACACUUCUUGAGGGGCUGGGGAGUGGGGCUAUCUAUCGGGGCGGGGGCGGGGGUGGUUGUUUCUGACGGGAGAGAGGGGUAAGCUUUUUUUUCCUUUUCCUUCCUCUUUUUCCCUUUCCUUCUCCUUUUCUCUCCUUGCUCUCCCCGCGGCGGUGCUGAACAGACUCUGUCUAGCAGGCGGGACGCACAGGCACCUGCAGCAGGAUCACCUGUCUGUUCUCCGAGGGGUGGCAUUUGUUGAUGUGCCGCGUAAGCCCCGGCGAGCUGUAGAAGGUGGCCGGGCAGUAUUUGCAGGGGAACACCUGGGCCGCGUGCAGUAGGCGGAGGUGGCGCUCCUGGCCGCUCUUGCUGGGGAAGGUCUCCCCGCACACAGGGCACAGAUGGCAUUCGGCGGGGGCACUCAUGUUGAGGGGAUUCGACACUUCCCCUUCGCCCCCAACUUCCUUCCCCGCCUUCUCGGUUGGUGGCAGGGGCUGCAAGCCUUCGGACGCGGGAUAACUGGGGUAGACCAGCAGGUCGUCGGGCUGGGCUGGCAGGGGCGGCGGCGGCGGGGCUUGGGGCGGCGGCGCUCCCUUGUUCUGCAGAGCCUGGUGAUGCGCCAGCAGGUGCUUCCUCAGGUAGGCCUGGCGACGGAACUUUUUUCCGCAGUGGUGACACUCGUACAGCCCAUCCUCAGAGCCCGACUCCGACACCCCGGGGCUAGGCGUGUCUCGGUCGCUGCCGCCCGCCUCCUUCGGUUCGCCCCCCACCCCCGCCUUGGCCAGAACCUCGUCCGCGCUGCUCUUGCCCUCGGCCGCUCGGGCGCCCCCGGCUGGCGGAGCCAAGGUGCCCGCGGCGGCGGCGCCGGUCCCCGGAGCGUGGUGGCCGCCGGCGGCAGCGGCUUGGGGCCGGGGUUUGUGCCAGCGGCGGUGGGAGGCCAGGUUGGCGGGGCAACUGAAGACCUUGUCGCACUCGGGGCAGCGGUACUCCACGCGCACGAUGCGGGAGCACUUAUGCUGGGCCAGGGCGAAGGGGUCAGCGUACUCCUCCUUACACAGCUGGCAGAUGAACUCGCCCAGAGGCCGGCCCCCGCCGCCGCCAACGCUCCCGCCGCCCGCGCCGCCGCCCGCGCCGCCGCCGCCCCCCGCGGCCCCGCCGGCUGCCCCCAGCCCGGCCCGGCCUUUGGGGGGCUCCACAGGGCCCUCCUUGAUCUUGAGGCCCAAUACAGGCGACGUGGUCACCUCGUCCUCGAAGUGCAGCUUGCGGAUGGCCUUGGGCUUCUUGGCGGCCGGCGCUUUGGCCGGCUUGGCCGCAGGAGCACCGGGCUCCGCCGUUGGCGCGGGCGCAGGCCGUUUACUCGGGUGCCGCAGGGAGGCGGCGGCGGCGGCGGCAACGGAGGCAGGGCCGGGGACCGCCAGCAGGUUGCCGGCUGGCGGGUGGUGGCUACCGGCGCCCCGGCCCCCGCCCCCAGCUUCCGCACCGGCCGCAGCGGCGGCGACCGAGGAGAAGGCGGUGCCCAUCUUGAGGUCGGCAGGGGCGAAAAGGAGGGGGUCCCCGCCGCAGGUGCCCCCCCCACUGGCGCCCCCGCCCGCGCCCCCGCCCCCGCCGCCCAGCAAGGCUGUGGGUGUGGGGAAAGACUCGGCGGAAACCGGCGAGCCCAGGUUGAAGCUGCGCUCGAAGUACUUCUUCUUCUCGUGCUCCCGGCUCACGGGCCGCGUGGGGCUGUACAGUGGCGCCGGGUAGACCGCCUCGGGGUUGCCGAACUGCACGGGCUUGGGGCCCGCGGCCGGCGGCGGCGGCGCGGGCAGCUCCCGGGGAGGCAGCGGCAGCGGCGGGGGCAGCAGCAGCGGGGCCGGGGGCGCGCCAGCCAGCAGCGCUGCCGGAGCCCGCUCGGAGCCGGGGAGGGGUGGGGAGGAGCCGCCGCUGCCGCCGCAGCUGGAGAAAAGCAGCAGCUCCCGGUCGCCGUCCUCGCAGCAGCGGAUCCGGUAGGAGACGGGCGUGGACUUCUUGUUUCUUUUCACCAGAAAUCCUCGGGGCAUCUUUGGGUUCCUGCGCGGGGCGGGCGAGCCCGGCCACUGAGGAAGGCACUGGAGGGGGCGGCGUAGGGAUGCGCUUUCUCUGGCUCUCUCGCCGAGAGCCUCGGAGCGCACUCUCGUCCUUGGCUCCUUCCUCUCUGGCUGGUACCCGGCUCUAGCUCAGCGCCUCCCGCCGUCUUCGCCCAUCAGUCUGGCUCCGCCCGCAGUAAGCAGUCGCGAACUCCUUCGCUCUUGCCUGCCUGCCGGUGUGAUGUCUAUAGGACGUGUCUGUGGUGUGCCUUUUUUUUUUCCUUCCGUACCCCCGCAAACACGUCCCUGUUCUCCCCUGCCUGCCCAGAUAGCAGCACUCUUUUUAAGGGGGGGAGGAUGCCAUUGUUCUCGCCUCCCGCUCCGUCCGGAGCCAAUCAGCGCUUCCCACUGCUCCUAUGGAUUUGAGGGUGGGAGGGUAAAGAGUGGUUUGAAAAAAGGGGGCAGGGACUUAGGGGUUGCUUGGUAGGUAUAGCAGAUGUACCUGAGGGUGUUUUCCCCCUUUUCUUUUCUUUCCAUCCCUCCCUCCGUCUCCCCCCCGCCCUUUUUGCCUCCUAUUUACUUCUGGCCCCUCCUGGAUAGAGGCACACGCCUGGCCCCUCCUCUUUUCACGGUCUGAUGGUUUUCUAUAGGAAGGCACACGUGCCUUGGCUUUGUGUCUCUCCUCCGGGGGGCACAGAUCUGCCAAAUGGAAAUGUCCAUCAGCAUCACAAUGAGCAGCAUCUAAAAUCGGUGGGAUUACCCGCAGUUCUGGAGCAAAAUAGCAACAAAGAAGAAGAAUGGCCCAAAAUAUGUCAGGAGGGUUCAAUAUGCAAACUGAAGUGGAGGGCGAAGUUGAAGGGGGGGGAGGGGGGACGAGGGGAACGUGUAAUUUGAAAGAGAAAAAACUGAGAAAGAUGGUGAGGAGGGCAGUCAAAAAUGUGACAUCAGAAUUGUUUAAGAAGUCAAAGAUAGAGAAGAAAUCAUUGUACUUGAAAAAUUAAUAAAAUUGGAAAACCUGUGUAUCAUACAGCAACACACCGAAUUCAAAAUUGACUUCUUCACCAGGGUAGCAACCCAGAAAAUUCCUCAGGGAAACAUCAAUUCAAGUGAAAAUGGAAAUACUGGUAUUUCUGCUAAACUAACUGAAGGGAUUUAGGAAUUCAGACUAUCUGAAUUACUGAAGUGAAAUAUUAGUAUCCACAUCAUCAACUCUUUUUCUCUUUAAAAAGUCUUAAUUAACUUCAAGAAGUCAUUUCAUAGUACUUUUUGAGACAAAACAGGUGGAUUAGUCAAAAUCGUCUUUUCUGCUUUCAAAAAGAACUUGCAUUUUGAAACAGUUUUUUGGGGGUAGAGUCUUACCAAAACUUCUUAUUUCCUGUAUCUUUAUAAUGCCCUAUUAAAUAGCUCAUCGUUUGUGCAAAGUUGCCCCUCCGCUCCCUUACUACACAGUCAUUUCAUUUAUCCAAGUAUUUGCGAAAUACCAAAAUUCACAUACAUAUCAAUCCAUUUUGAUAAACUUCUUUUAAAUUAUCCUUUGCUGCCUCAUGCAUUUUAAUUCAGUUCGUGCAUUUUGUCUGCUGUUUGACAUCAGAUGCUAAAUCAAGGGGUCUAAUCAAGUAGCUAAAAAAUAAAGGGCCUGUCUGUCUCUGCACAGUAGCCUCCCAGAGCCGUGCCCCUUUCACCUUUGUGAAGGAAAUUAACCUCCUUCUAUUGAACACGAACCGCGGCCAAUCUGGACGAGAAAGAGACGCGUGCUGCAGGGC